rnacentral:antisense_RNA from 1 species
UGUGGGAGCGGGCUUGCUCGCGAAUGCGUAGUGUCAUUCAGCACAUCUGUAGCUGAUACACCGCAUUCGCGAGCAAGCCCGCUCCCACA